AAAAAUACCCAGCAGGGAAGAUACCACGAUCACGAAGGUGGUUUUCCCAGUGUGGUUUAUCCAUUGUUUCUGGGUAUACUGACCCCUUUGAUUUCCUCAAAUGUGGGAAACUGGACUGCAUACUAUGUGGUAGUGGGGGAUUACGUUCACACUUUCUCUUG
ensembl:snRNA U1 U1 spliceosomal RNA